AUUGAACGCUGGCGGAAUGCUUUACACAUGCAAGUCGAGCGGCAGCACGGGGGCAACCCUGGUGGCGAGUGGCGAACGGGUGAGUAAUACAUCGGAACGUGCCCAGUCGUGGGGGAUAACGUAGCGAAAGUUACGCUAAUACCGCAUACGAUCUACGGAUGAAAGCGGGGGACCGUAAGGCCUUGCGCGAUUGGAGCGGCCGAUGUCAGAUUAGGUAGUUGGUGAGGUAAAGGCUCACCAAGCCGACGAUCUGUAGCUGGUCUGAGAGGACGACCAGCCACACUGGGACUGAGACACGGCCCAGACUCCUGCGGGAGGCAGCAGUGGGGAAUUUUGGACAAUGGGCGCAAGCCUGAUCCAGCCAUUCCGCGUGCAGGACGAAGGCCUUCGGGUUGUAAACUGCUUUUGUACGGAACGAAAAGGCUCUGGUUAAUACCUGGGGCUCAUGACGGUACCGUAAGAAUAAGCACCGGCUAACUCCGUGCCAGCCGCCGCAGUAA
rnacentral:rRNA from 1 species